UUUUUUUUUUUCACACUUCUCAAUAUUUUACUAAAGUGGAAACAAUUUAAAAAUAUGUUUUCUUUUGUUUGGGAAGACAACUAAUGCAUUCAUUAUUGUGUUUAUUUGUGUUGGUGUAACAGUCGUGUGUUUUAUUUAAUUUUAUGAAUAUCUUGUGCUAACUGGUUAGUAGGACUACAUUGUGAAUUAUUGUACCUGGUUACAAUUAUGGCAAGGAUAAGGAAAUUCAAUCCAAAACGGACUUUCAUAGGUAAUCAACAUACAAAGCAACAAAAUCUAAUAGUAGGUGUUCAGCAUCAACAUACACAUGUUCUGUGCAAAUAAGUCCAAAGAGGUCUUCUAGAGCACAAAAACUGAAUCAUUACAAACUUCCAAAAGAUUUUAAUGAAGAGACUGGUGUGAAUGUCAUAGUUGAAUUAGAACUUAUUUCUAGGGAGCGGCCCUGUCUACGUCCCUGGAGGACUUCAGCGGCUACCGUGGAAGCCUCCGCCUGGAAUGCCACCGGGGCCUGUCAGCCGACCUCAAGCACAGCUGUGGUCAAGUAGCACCGCGAGCUCAAGGUGAAGGACGUCCAACCAGGUUGCCAGUCGCUGAAGCGACCCACCGAGUUACGUCUCCGUCUGAUGUUCCGUGAUGGUUCGUUCUUUGAAUGUUUCUCGCAGUAGGGAAGAAUGAUAUAAAAUGUUUUCUAAUUUUAGGACAUACGUCAUUGCUGGUCACGCUGUGUGUCAUAUAGAAAAUCUCAGUAACUGAUCAAAAAAUAGAUUACUAUGCAAUCACUCAGCAAACAAGCCAAAGUCAGCCGAUGUUACAAAUUAAAUGUAUAGACAACACAGAGUAUUCUUUGGUAGGAAUAAAUAAAAUUAAAAAAGAACACAGCACAGGCAAAUACAGUGGCCUGACGAUAAGACAGUUUCAACAAGAACAGUAAAUAAAUAGACAAACCAAGCUCAGUCCCCACAGCAACAACAGACAAACCCAAUGAUGAUACUUAAAAAUUUAAUCUGGACACCAUAACAACGAUAACACAGACAAACGCAGUAGAUUUAUUCAUAUCAGUUGGGGUCGCUACUUCUCUUGUGUUGUCAUGUUGUAAGUCCCUAUUAGAUUUGAGCGGCAACUAUAACAUGAUAUAGUGGAGAAAUUAAGGUAAAGGUGUAAUGCAAGUCCCGUGAGUGCUUUCAAGAAUCUGUACCAGAUGUUGUAUGUCUAUAAGUUAUUCUGAAAACAGAACAUGUCAUUUACCUUCAACUUUUCUUGAGCAGAUUUUAAUUCACAUUUUUUUUGUGUAUUUUUUCACACUGUAUGUGUACCCCGGUAGGUGAGGGCCCUUAAUACCAACAGUUUAAAUAUCUCUAAACCUUGGAAAAGAAAUGUGCUUUGUAUCUUACAGUUAGGUACUCAAAAGUCGAGAAGUAACAGGGAGCUAUACAAUGUAAUUUCUUCCUUCACAUCUGUGUUCAACCUAUAGACGUAACAUAACACUCUGGUUAUGUUUUCAUGGUACUGAUGAUUGUAAUUUGUACAAACUGUACAUAAAAUCUUCCUUUUGGUUGGGAUUGCCAGAAGUUUACGAAUUCUCAAAAAAAAAAAACCAUGUGUAAGUAAUAGUACUCAAGGUCCUGUGAAACCCCAACAGUCAAGUCAGACUGGUUGUUACGUGUCAGUGCAUGGCUGUGUCACAAGCGUAGCACAGGUGCUGGCCAGCUGCUAUUUGGUGAUUUGACGUCUCAGUUCCCAGAAAAAUUAACAUUUAUCAAACAAAUAAAUCAAAUUCAGAAGUAAGAAAUUCACAGUUAUAAAUAUUAUUUAAAUAUACCUUUUAAAAAUUAUUUCACGAUUUUAUCAUAUCACUAUUCACUUUCUUAAGAUUUUUCUACUUCUGAAUUUAAUUUAUUGUUAUGAUGUGUUAAUUUUACUAUUAUGUGAACUUGAAUCAAUAAUUGAUAUUAAAUGAUAGAGUUUUUAUGAACAAAAAGACAAGACAAUAGAUCAUAUAUUUUAGAUUGAGUCCUUAUUAUAUAAAAAUUGUAGGUACUGAAAUAAGAGUGUAAUUUUUAUGAUAAUAGUUUAAGGUGCACAGUAAUUUUGUCUGUGUGAUCAAAACGUUCUUUAUUAAGAUCAUGUUCAUCCAAUGAAAUUGGGGAAUGUGUACUUCUUUGUUGAUACACCCCUUCUAGUGGCGGAUCCAGGGUUUAGUCGAAUAGAGGGUUGACAGUAUUUAAAACAUUUGCUAUUAACAAGCAAGAAACACUGAGUCAUAUCAACUUUUUACCCCCGUGAUGAAAAAAUUAACAAAUUUACUAUAAAUUAAAUGUUGCCAAUGAAAAUUUUCUUAUUCAUCACAAAACUGCAUUGAAAUAUUAAAUAAUGUUUAAAGAACUCCAUUAAUUUUUUUUUCUUCUAUAGUUUUGCGUGUUAUUUACAGUAGAACCUUGUUACAGGGACUUCACUUUAAAGUAUGUAUGUACAUAUUUUCAGAUUUCUACAUGUUCUGCAUUCAGUCCAGAACUCGUGGCGAGGUUUUGAUGGAAUGUUCUCGGUGGCCGUGGUCGUUGGUGGACAGGAUGUAUGAAACCCUGGCUUCAGGGAGGCAGGAGGCGAAGCAGCCCGGUCAGCAACGAGCAAGAACGUCUACCCUCUACCACCCGCCUACGCCAGUGACGUCACACUGCCCCGCCCGCUGAAGCCUUGACACCUUGACUCUGCCUGCCAGCAGUGGUGCUGAAGGACUCGCGGCAGGAGGUGUGGAGAAGUUCAACUGCAGCUGGCAGGACUUCCGGGAGUUCCGAGAGAGACACAUCUGCCCCCUGCAGCUUUCGACCGGCGGCGCAGUCCCGGGAGCAGCAGCCGGCCGCGUCACGGCACGGCUGCACGGAUCCUUCUUACCGCUCGCCUGCACCGUGUGGCUCCAGCCUCUACAAUGUCUGUCAUUGUAUUGUUUUUAAUAGGAAGCAUUAUCCUACUGGCUUAACACUUGGUAUCCUUUAAGUCCUUAUUAAAAUUUGUAAAUUUAUUAGUACAUGGAUAUAUAAGUACAGAAUUGCAAUGUUUGACAAGGUGCUGCAAAAUAUCUAGAUUGAAGCAAUAGCAUUGGGCGGAAGGCCGGAAAGUGUGAAAUGUGAGAGGUUAUGUUGUUGGUUGUGCAGUAAACAUGCGAUGUUUGGGGCAAUGAGGUUCAUAACCCUUCGGAUGAUUAAGGACAAUGUGCAAUUUUUGAUUCAAUGCAUUGCAGUCUUUUAAUAAUUGUAGAAAUGUGAAGAAAAAAAAGUUAAACAGUGCAGUUCAUUGUAAGUUUUUUGUCAGAGAAAAGCAGUUAUUUUUGGUAUUGAAUUCAAAUGUUAAUUAGCUAAACUGCAUUCAGGGUGGCUGAAGUGGUUGAGUGAACAGGAUCACAAUUCAGUGUAGAAAACUGGGUCACGAGUGAUUGCAAAUGAAACACUAGAUUUAGAACGUAAUGAACACAACUUGUGUAUUCAUGGAGGAGUAGAGCAUAUUAGUAGUGUGUUAGGAAGCAGUUAAAAUUCAUAAAGGCAAGAAAUGGUCUGUGGAGCUAGGUUUUAGAGGAAGAAAUGUUUACUUGAUAUCUCUUAGUUGGAAUUAUAUUUCUCAGCACAAACCCAGUUACAUAUAUGUGUAUAUACUAGCUGCAGUACCCAGCGUUGCCCGGGCUGAACACAGGGUGAAGGGGAACUGUUUAGAGAUCAGAUGUAGUUAGUAAUUGUCUUCUUAAUUUGAAUGUCAAGUGUGCAAAAUAAUUUAUAUCACUUUCAGAUCCCGACAGACGUUGUUCUGCCAGUUUAUAGUUAUUUACAUGGUCUGUAUGUAAUCUAGACUCUAUAAAGCAAUAUAGAAAAAAAACUGAAAAAUAAGGGAUUACUAAUAUUGAAAAGAUUCCAUUAUCUAGCUAAUGCUCGGCCCUCAUUCAGUUUUGUUUUGUAAUAUGUUUGAAGUAGUUACACAUAUAUAAAUAACUAUCCAUGUCUCUAAAUAUAUAUUUAUCUCUAUCUACAUCUAUAGUCAUAUAUAUCUAUGUAUCUCUCUAUCUGUAAUUAUCUAUAUUGUAUUGGUCCGAAAAUAGGCAGACCUUUUUUGCCAGUUUUGUCAACCUUGAAAUCUAGGGUCGGCCUAUAAUGGGGCACUAGCCAAAAUAGUAUAAUUAAACACAUACAUUUCAAGGAGAAUCACUUAUGGCAUAAAAAUGUUAUCAGAUAUACAAUUCAUUGACCUAAAAUUACACCUUACUUACGUGGAAUUAUUAAUUUUUACAACUUAGAAAUUUAGUAAACACACUUAACCCCAAUAACGUAUCAUAUUUUAAGUUAAGUACACAGAUGUGGUCACUUGUAGCACAUAGCUUUUGAAAGCUCGGUCUGGUUAUUUUUGAACUGUAUUUAACAGGCUGCAGUAAUUUUAUUUGCUUUUAAAAUGUGGUAUUUACAGUAAACAGUAAAAACAGCAAUUUUGCCAUACGGUUAUUUACCGUAGUAUGCUUUAUUUACUCUUCUACCACAGGAAAAACAAAAUGGCACCAGUGUUGGCAACUUGUAGUUGCGACAUGAAUAAACAAAUACCGGUACAUACCAACAGUAACAAGAACAAUAAAACCUAUUUGCAAUAUUGGCUGUUUUAUGGUUGAUUCAUAUAUGUUUUACAUGAAACCAUUUUGGGUUUUUUACGUCAAAAUUAAACGUAACGGUAAAUGUUUUUACAUCACAAUUAUUAUGAACUUAGAAAAUGUAGCCAUUGCCGUAUAAAAUGUUGGCACCACUACAAAAGAAUGUGAAGAUAAACGGAAAUAUGAACUCUCAAAUAUUUUUGUCAGUUCAAUAAAUACUAACUUAGUUGAAGUGUUACUGUGGUCAUAUGCUGCUGAUAAUCAUUUUGGGAUUUUUACGUCAAAAUUAAACGUAACAGUAAAUGUUUUUACGUCACAAUUUCUAUGAAUUUAGAAAAUGUAGACAUUGCCGUAUAAAAUGUUGGCACCACUACAAAAGAAUGUGAAGAUAAACGGAAAUAUGAACUCUCAAAUAUUUUUGUCAGUUCAAUAAAUACUAACUUAGUUGAAGUGUUACUGUGGUAAUAUGCUGCUGAUAAUCAUUUGUUAGUUAAAAUUUAUUUUUCCCUGAUUUUGAGUGUGCUGUAGAAGGGGUCGGCCUAUUUUCGAGGUCGGCCUAUCUUCGGACCAAUACGGUAUCUACAUAUAUACCUCACACUAUCUAUGUAUUCUAUAUGAGGGUACUGAUUGCUUCGUUGUUAAUAUCACAUGGGUGUUUUUUACUUGUAUGGGAAAAUUAAAAAUGAUAAGGCAUCUAGUGUGUGGCAACAAUAGGCAAUAGGAAAUAAACUCUAGCGCCUGCGGCAUUGUCAACACACACUCCGUACGUGUACAGUAUGUUGUAUCUAACCCCCUCCAAAGCAUUUGAUUCUAAAUUGGACUUUUAGUAAGGAUCCCUAAUCUUAUUGAUAAUAAAAUAUAGCCUAUAGCCUUCCUCGAUAAAUACUAUCCAACAGUGAAAGAAUUUUUCAAAUCGGACCAGUGGUUCCUGAGAUCAGCGCGUUCAAACAAACAAACAAACUCUUCAGCUUUAUAAUAUUAGUAUAGAUUAGAAGUUAGAAUUGUGAUAUUUCCAAGUGUAUUCAUGAUAUUGUCUUGUAAUUAUAAUUUUGUAGUACAUGCUAUGUUUACAUGAAUUUGUACCCUUGUAUUUCACCAACAUAUAUGUAGCUUGCAGCCUUUGUAUUGCUAGUUAUGUCUUAUGCCAAGGACUGCUUACAGGUGACACCCCCACAUUUACCAGUAUUGUUUGUGCGGGUAUUUUUUUUUUUAAAUUUCCUUAUCUGACUUGUACAAAUUAGUGCUACGGUUGUUUUAUCUCGUUCAGCCCUCUCCUUCUUUGAUGCUGAGUUAUAAGUAUGAGAAGACAGAGAGGAGACAUUAAUAUUGUACAUAACUGACAUAGCAAUAAGAUGUGUGCAUUAUUAAUAUUACAUUAAAAAUUUCUUUAUAAUGAUUUUGUGAGAGGAGUUGUUCGUUAGAUUAUGCAUUAAGAAUCGUGGUGCCACUUAGCAUUGUUUUUGGUUGUAUUAUAAGCAAAUACGUUGGGAAGGAGUAGGCUAAUAAGAAUUGUAAUACGAAAUUGUUAACACUUACCAUCUUAAAAUUUGGGAUGAAAAAAGCAGCUCUGUACAGAAACACAAAGCUGGUUAACAUAACUUUCUUGAACCACCAUUGUAAUUAAUGUACAGUAUUUUAUUUAGUACAGUGAGUGUUUUCCAUAAACUCAUAUACAUGUGAUGUGUUAUCCAGUGUGUUGUCUUGAUGUAAGUUGCUAUGCUAAUGCAUACCAUACCAUGUAAAUCUUGAUGUAAAGCUUAAUGAAAUGUGUAUACAUAUUUUCCAGAUGAUAUAUAUUUUAUUCCUGAAAGAGCAAAACCAUUUGACUGUGACACUUUGAAGUAACAUUUCCAUAAUAUUCUGUGCCAAAAAAUAUUUUCUAACUAGGCACAUACUAUAUGUAGUAUGUAGUUUGUCAUGACCAAAUAUCUCAAACUUAAUACAAUAAUUUUUUGGUCUAUGUUCAUGUUUGGCUUGGUUUGAAUUUUUUUGUAUGAGUAAUUGUGUUAAUUAUCAGUUUGGAGAGAAAUUUUUGUGUUAUUAAUAACUUUAAUUUUCAGAAAUAUACAUGUAUAUUUAUAAGUUUGUAAAAGGUGUAAAUUUUGUAAUUAAAAAUGAAGUAUUUUAUUUAGAA